UACGAAGGGGGCUAGCGUUAUCCGGAUUCACUGGGUUUAAAGGGUGCGUAGGUGGGCUGGUAAGUCAGUGGUGAAAUCUCCGGGCUUAACUCGGAAACUGCCGUUGAUACUAUCAGUCUUGAGUGUUGUGGAGGUAGGCGGAAUAUGUCAUGUAGCGGUGAAAUGCUUAGAUAUGACAUAGAACACCGAUAGCGAAGGCAGCUUGCUACACAAUAAUUGACACUGAGGCACGAAAGCGUGGGGAUCAAACAGG
rnacentral:rRNA from 1 species